AGCACACGAACGGUGGGGUAACGGAAACGUCCCCAAAAUUAAUCUUAUGAUUGUUUAGCAGCCGUGACCGUGUGCUUU
ncrna:unclassified sequences c4-2 RNA